rnacentral:ncRNA from 2 species
UGCGAUGAGUCGAGUAAGCACGGUUCUUGUGCUGAAAGUUGCAGCUGACUGGUUAAAAGCCACCCGCCGGAUUGUGGGGUCAGCGAUCUCAAGGUUGUGGAGCCA